ensembl:lncRNA
AAAUAAUCUGUCUUGUGGCAAUAGAAUUCUUAUAUUCCCUGUGCUGCCUGUUGCUGCUUUGUGGGGCUCUCUUUGCUUUGCCUCAUUAUGAGAGACUUGUGAGAGUAGCAGCAAGGCUGUAUUAAGCUCCACAUAAGAUUCCCACUGUCUCUUUAUUUUGGCAUGCUGCAAAUCUUGCAAAGAUAUUCCUUCUACUGGAAUUCUCCCUUUGAAAAGCAGAUGGCUCACUCAAACAUCUGGAAAAGCUGUCCCUGAGUGAAGUAGUGACUUGAUGUAAUGGCUUUCACAGACCUGUAUUUCCAAAAAGAUGAGGCUGACUCUCAAAGAUGCCAAAUGUCAAAUGGAUCAAAUGGAUCCAUCAGCCGUUCUCUGUAUUCCUUGUGUAAAGUCAAGGCGGACUUUGGUAUGUAGAGAUUGAACCCUUUAUAGAAGAGUUGCUGUGACACAGAGAAAUGAUUUGCUGUUUUAUAAUAGGUUGGGGUGGAAGAGGAUCGAAAUUAUUUGCAAUUGAUUUAUAAGGUCUUAUGCAGUUCACCUGGCAAUAACUUAGAAAAAGAAUCUUUUACAAUGUAGAUAUUGCUAGAUAGCUAUGAUUUUUUUUUUAUGUGAUCUUUUAACGCAGCCUUGUAAAUGAGCUCUCCUUCAUUCCUAAAGAGGUUAUUUCAGAGCAGAAUUUACAUUUAUGGUAUUGAUCAAAGAAAUAGAUAGUUGCCAAAUAUAUCUGGAUAAUAGUUUCAUGAAUAACAGCUGCUUUAUAAUUUAUAAUGCUUUAUAAUUCCCACAAAAUACAAAGUGCGUAUUUGGUCCUUCAAAGGGAAGUCAUUGUGGGGAGAAAUGGAAUGCCAGAGUAGGUGAACAAAGCUUCUGAUAAUUACAGUGUAAAAGAAUGCAACAUAGAACAGUAAGGUCUCUGGCCCUUUAUUAAUGCUUUUCAAAGCUGAGAUUUUCUGAGCCUUCUGUGGCCAUUAGUGCUUCAUUCUUAACACGAAGAGUUCAAUAACAUUUUACCCAAAUCCUGCUUUUUGAAUAUUACAAGAUGACAUAAUAUCUGUGGAGACAGAUUUCAAAUUGUCAUGUAAAUUUCUGGAGCAUUAGCUUUCAAAGUUUAUUACCGCUUUCUAAUAUUCAUUGCUCUUAAGCUUCUUAUUUACAGAGGCAGUCUAUCUAUUUUGAAUGACUGUGGUAAAUGGAGAGAUUAAUAUAACGUUUCCUACAAAAUCUCUUUACUUGGGAGCCAAUGACUAGCUAGGUUUUGUUACUUAUUUUUUAUUUUCUUACUUUUGUUUGUGUAUAUGUAUGUAUUUUAUUUUCAGUAAGUAAAAGCACUUGCAAGGCAGAAUCGUUACACUUGUCCCAGGCCAUAAGGAAUCCUUUUAAAGUAAUCUCAAAAAUACACAGAAGAUACUACAAAGGGCAAUGUAUAUACCACGCAAAAAGAGAUUGUCCUUGAGAGCUUUGAAUAAAUAUCUCCUUUUGUUCCUCGCAAUUUCUCAACAGAAUGGAUGUAUUUUUUUUAAGAAAUGCAUCAGUCACCCACUUGAAAAUAUGAUGUUUGCUAUUUUAUUGUGUAUAUUUUCAUGAUUUUAGUAUGUAAUAUGUCGGGUUCUGAACUGAACUUGCAGGACAUAUUUUAAAAGUAAACUUUCAAUAUUUGUUUCAUCAUAAGUAAAAAACUUUUGUUCUUUCUCAAUGUUAUGAACAAUUAAUAUUCCAUUUAAUUUCCUGCUCAUUUAUUUGAAUGAUUUGAAAAUUAUACUGUAUUGUUUUUUUCUCUUGACCAACACAUACUAUGCACUCUAGGAAAUAUGGUGAGAAAAAAAGUCUUCUAAGUGUGUUGGAAUGUGAUGUAGUAAAGGCAAGCAUGGGAACUGUAAUCAUUUUUAUAACUCCCUAUAUCGUUAUUGAAAAUUUUGAAGAUGGUUUAUGAACAUUAAAUAUCAAUAUUUGAGUUAAAGAUGCAUUUUUAUAUUUACUCUCUUCUUACAGCUUACAGUAACUUUCUUCUUAUAACUUAUAGUAACUUACAGCUGUUCUCUCUUAGCUUUUUGAUUUUUUAAAAAUAAUACAGUUUAUGUAUUUUUUGAAAAUAAUGUCAAUGUGAUGAAUGAAAACAUGGAUUUAGACCAUUCAGCUAGCGAGUGCAAUUAUAUCUACUUUCACCUUGGCCAAAAGUGUAGAAGUGCAUGUGUGCACAGGUGUAUUUAUUUGCAUAGCUGUAAUAGAAUGAAAGCAGUAUGAUCAAAGAAAACAGAACUCAAAAGGGAAUGAUAUCUACCUGUUAUUCAUAUGUAGCUGGUCAUCAGAGAAGC